rnacentral:misc_RNA from 1 species
CCAAUAGCGUAUAUUAAAGUUGUUGCAGUUAAAAAGCUCGUAGUUGAAUUUCGGAAUCAAUAUAUCGGUCGUGCCUCUGGUACGCACUUAUUUAUUGAUUUCUCACUUCUGACGAAUCAUAAUGUCAUUAGUUUGGUGUUAUGAGGAAUCAGGACUGUUACUUUGAAAAAAUUAGAGUGUUUAAAGCAGGCUCGCGCUUGAAUACAUUAGCAUGGAAUAAUGAAAUAGGAUUUUUGAUCUUAUUUUGUUGGUUUCUAGGAUCGACAUAAUGAUUAAUAGGGAUAGUUGGGGGCAUUAGUAUUCAAUUGUCAGAGGUGAAAUUCUUGGAUUUAUUGAAGACUAACUACUGCGAAAGCAUUUGCCAAGGAUGUUUUCAUUAAUCAAGAACGAAAGUUAGGGGAUCGAAGACGAUCAGAUACCGUCGUAGUCUUAACCAUAAACUAUGCCGACUAGGGAUCGGAUGAUGUUAUUUUUUAAUGACUCAUUCGGCACCUUACG